AUGGAUCGGCUGCCCCCGCACCUUUCUCCUACUGACAGGCGGCGGACGCCCCUCCCUCCCCUCCCGAGCCUCCCUGCUGCUGGAUCCAGUGCGUGCUGUUAUGCGCUCCUCCAUCUAGUGCAGUGCCCGCGCUGCUGGCGUGGAGUGCUCACGGAUCUGGCAUGCAGUGCAGUGCGCCCCCGACACUUGGUCACGCGUUCUGCUGUUCGUUUCUCGCAGGCGUGCAGCUCGUCCCCCGCGCGGCGUGCAGCUCUACUCUGCCUCGAUGGAACUGCGCCUCCACCUAGUGUUUGUUCAGUUUUGUUUCCACCUCAUGGCCACAAGUGCAGGUUCUCUCGGUUGCAGCUCGGUUGGGUCGUCGCUGAAGUAUGGAGGCACUUGAGAAGUUUAGAACCAUUAGCAACCAUAGAAUCUUCAGUUUUGCAGUGA
rnacentral:rRNA from 1 species